CGACCAAUGUUAGAACGAUCGAUUGUCCUGUUUAUACUCGUCAAAAAAGAAAGUCAAUACAGCAUUUUACAACACCUGACCCACACGCGUGUUACAUCAAUGCCACCACUCGUACAUUUAAAAUAAUGACAGCCUAAUUUUAUUUAAGUUUAGCAAAAUCGAUUUCAGCGUAAUUGAAGCCUUCUUGGGAUGCUGACGAAAUAGGUGCCACGUUAGCAACCUCAGGAAGAUCUAGACUAGCGUAGUGCAAAAUUUCUGCAUCAAUUUGCACGAAAUUCUCCUUUUCUAAGGGGCUUGGCAUGGCGGUAGGUGUAGGUGUGGGCGUCUCGUCUAGCAAUUUAGGAGACGAGGCCCGCUUUUCAACGGUUGGCUUAAAACCAGGUAACGUCGGACUGGUGUUUGGAGACGCAGUGAUUAAACGUGGUUUUGAUACGUUCAAAUCGGAAAACUUCUUUAUUCGAGCGUUCAAAGGUGUUUGAUCGUUGGGAGAGUUAUUCCAUCUCAAGUGUAUGGAAAGGUACUUUUAAACUAAAUAUAGAUCCUUAGAAAGCAAAAGUAUCGUCAAACAAUCGAAACUCCGAUAUAUUAUAUCUUCGAAGAUAGCUAUCUGUUUAAACAACGGCGAUACGAAGCGAAUUUAAAUCGUAUACCUGCUAACAAUAAGAUAAGGUUGCAAUAUACUAUCAUACUUUCUAACUCGUAUCACACUUUGAAAACGAUUCCUAAUAAUUCACCUUUUACGAUUAGACAGCUGAUUAUGAGACGGUAGCCUUUUUUUGACUACAUGAUCUUUUCCAAAUGUUAUUUAUACUACCUAUACUAUCGCUGUCAAAAGCAAAUGAAAGCCAAGUAAAUCGAAUUUCUACCGGUGAAGAUGAAUUAGAAAUGUACGAUUCACACGAUAGACAUGUAACUGGACUGAAAGGCAAAUUACGCAAGAUUAUUAGAAGUAGAGUGUUAGAAAUCGAUUGAACUACUUAGAAUCCCCGUUCGAGAUAACGAUCUAUUUUAAAACUGACAUUGACUCCGACAGCUGAGAGAGCGUGGACGCGUGUUGUAUAUUAUCUUAAAAUCCAACACCGAUAAGUGUAAAUUUUAGAUAUUGUUCUAAUAAUUACGCUACCUCCGUUGCUUUCAACGACUUCAUCAAAGAUAUAACGAUUCUCAAUUAUUUCAUAAAUACAGCGGAACAGCUAUUUGCUAUUAAAACAGACCGAUUGAAAAUUCGUCGUCCUUUAAAUCGAAAGUAGACGAAAGAGAUGCAACUAACAUUUUUACCUAAGCAAAUAUUUCUGCGAAAUCAGGUUUACGUUAAACAACGAGAAACUAUAAGUUACUAUAAUAACGUGUUACGUAAUCAUCUUUAAAAAAGAUUGCGUAAUAAAAAAAUUGACUGUUUUAUUGGACAACGUAUUUUUUACCUUUUGCAUCAAUUUGUUCAAGCACGAUGCUAGGUAUCGCGAUUAUAUAAUGGCAAU
rnacentral:misc_RNA from 1 species